GGGCCCCCCCCGGGCUUGAGCCGGCCGGCGGCCCCCGGGGAGGCCGCCCUGGAGCUGGUGCUGGCGGCCUUGACCUUGGGGUCGGAGCUGGAGCCCGCGGGGGGGGCUCUGCCCCUGGUACCGUCGCUGCCGUCCCCCUUGGGAUCGCCGCUGUCGCCCCCGCUACGUCCGUCCCUGCCGUCGCCACCCCCCCGGGGACCCUCGCCGCCGCUGUCGCUGCACGGCCUGCCUUCCUCCUCCUCCGCCUCGCCGCCGUCGCCGCUGUACAAGACGGAGCUGUGCCGCCCCUUCGCCGCCACCGGCCGCUGCCGUUACGGCGCCCGCUGCCAGUUCGCCCACGGCCCCGGCGAGCUGCGGGGGCUCCGGCGCCACCCCAAGUACCGCACGCAGCCCUGCAGCACCUUCCUGCGCUGCGGCUCCUGCCCCUACGGCCCCCGCUGCCACUUCCUCCACGGCCCCCCCCCGCUCCAGCCGGCCCCGGCCCCGUUACUGGGGGAUGGCGGGGUGACGGCCAUGGGGCCCCCCCCCAGCAGCCCCCGCCGCCUCCCCGUCUUCGACCGCAUCUCGGUGGCGGAGUGACGCCCCUGUGGCCGUGGGGACCCCUCUGAGUGGGACGCCCCCACCCCGUGUUUUUUCUUUGGGGGGGGAAAACCGCUGUGAGGGCCCUCUCACGGCACCCUUUGUGCCUCUCAGGUGAAGGGGGGCCCCCUUUUAACCCCCCCCAUGCACUUUUGGGGGGGAGGCGCUGGAUGUAGCAGCUCCCCCAGAAGGGGGGGGCACGCCCUGAGCUCGUCUCGGUGGUGCUAAUUGGGGGGGGGGGUUGCCAGCGGGUCCUGGACUCCCCCUCCCCACACCCAAUUUAUGGCUUUAUUUAUUUAAGGUCGGUGCCUUGGGGCUGCCCCCGGCCCCGUGUGUGGGGAUGGAGGUUUUUUAGGGUAUUUAUGGGGUUUGUAGAGUUUUUUUGGGGGGUGGGGGUGACUUUUUUAGGGUAUUUAUGGGGUUUGUAGGGUUUGUUGGGGGGGGUGGGUUGGUAAAUAAACACUUGGGCUGUGACCGAACGCUCUCGCUU
rnacentral:lncRNA from 1 species